rnacentral:misc_RNA from 1 species
CUAUGUAAGAAAUAAGAAUGUUAAAGUUGGCUUUUAAGCAGUUUAGCAAUUUUUCUGCGAAACUAGUAAGUAGAUGCAAGGAAACUGGUUUCCACAUUGUUUGGAUUAACUCUACCUUUUCAUUCAUUGCUUCCAAGGUAUUGUUUGUUUACGUACACCCUAACUUGACUUGAAAAAUUUUAAACUAAAAAGUUGCUUUAAACAUAAAUUUAAUAACUAAUCAUUAUACUAAAAGACUAUAUGAAUUGAAUGGGCUUAUCAUAAAAAACAUAUAAAUCAAAGGAAACUUUGUUUGCCAAUUCCACUCUCAAUAGCUUGCUCAUUGCUUAUUGAUCUUAGACGUCAACUUGGCUUGCUCAACUAGGACACGAGGUGCAUCCAACAUAGGCAUUACAAGCUCAACUACUUGAAUGACAUCUGCAUUUGCAAACUCCUUGUCGCUAAACAACUUUUCAACGUCAGUAGGAGUUUUAACACAGUAAGUGCGGAAGUGGUUUUCAGCAGCUCCGAAAAACUUGGGAAUCUGUUGGUAGCCCCAUUUAGUGUUAAUUUCGUUAUAGCUAGCAUGCAAACCAUGAAUUAAACGCUCAAUGGUGUAACCGUCGUUGUUAAUUAUGAAAAUAAUUGGUUUGAGGUUAUGGCGAAUGCAGGUUGAAAUCUCUGUAAUCGUCAGUUGUAAGGAUCCAUCACCUACUACAAGAAUGGUACGACGAUCGGGCUCUUUAGAAUCGUGGACGGCCAAAACAGCACCAAACAUUGCACCAACGGAGUAUCCAAUAGAUCCCCAUAAUACCUGGGAAAUGGCUGUUACAUCCUUUGGAAACCUGCAAUCAAGGACACCAAAGUUUGCAGUUCCAGUCUCGGUGAUCAAAACAUCUCGGGGCUUCAAAAAUUCACUAAAUUUAGGCCAAAACCAGCAAUGAGUAAUCUCGUUGGAAGAAUAUCCUUCCGCAUGCUUAGGCUUGAUGUUGUAGCCAAUGGUAGGAGCAGCCUUGGAAUGACACAUAGAAGCAUCAAGUACUUUCAACAGUUUGCGAAGAAUAUACUUCAUGGCUACAUUUGGAUAAAGAGCAUAUCGAAUGCGCAUGUGGUCUGAAUGAAACUCAACGGCAUUCUUUUGGCUGAGGUGGUAAGAGAAGGAACCCGUGUUAAAGUCUGAUUUGAGAGCACCGAUGGAUAGCAACAGAUCAGUGGAUUCAAUUCUGUCUUUAACUUCAGGAUCUGAAAUUGAACCAACAUAAACGCCGUCAAAAAAUUGCGAAGUUUCGUCAAUUGCAGAUUUACCCAUGGGAGUUACAUAUGUAGGGAAAUGGGUCAAUUUAAUCAGCUCAUGUACUUCUGGAACGACACGAUGUCUUACAGCACAAGCGUCAAUUAAAAUCACUGGUUUCUUUGCAUUGACAACCAUUUCCGAGAUAUGAUUGAUGACUUCUUGCUCAACUGCUGGAUCGUUAGUAUCCUCCUCGAGCUUUAGUCUUUUCCCAAGAUUUGAUGAAGAUGCUUUGAAGUAGCCAGCAUCAGAAGGAAUACCAAUGUAAACAGGCCUAGCCUUUUUAUAACAAAUCGACAAGGCUUCAUCGAUCUUUUCAGCUGCAUCGUUUCCGUUAUCGAUCAUUAUACUGUAGGCAGAAACUUUCUUAAACAUAUCCAUGAAAGUGCGAAAGUCUCCAUCUCCUAAAGUAUGAUGAAGCAAAGCUCCAGUAUCUUGCACCUUUGUGGAAGGCAUUCCAACAAUAUGAACUACUGGGACAUGCUCCGCAUAAGAACCUGCCACUCCAUUAAUAGCGGAAAGCUCUCCCACGCCGAACGUUGUAACAAUGGCUGAAAGACCAUUAACACGAGCAUAACCAUCAGCGGCAUAAGCACCAUUCAACUCAUUGGUAUUGCCAACCCAACGAAAUUUCUCAUCUCCAACUUUCUCAAUUAAGUCAAGUAGAGCUAAAUUGAAAUCUCCUGGAACACCAAGAAUGGACUUGACCCCUAAUUGUUCAAGCCUUUUGAAUAGAUAUUCACCGACUAAAAUAUCCCCACUCAUGUUUGAUAAUGCAAUUUAAUGUGCUUGUGAAAUAUACUCAACAAAUUACAAUGCUGAGUGUGUAUUCCUUUUUCGCAAGAUAAUUAUCUGUUGAAUAACCAGCAGAUACUUUCUGAACUUAAAGGAACAAGUGAGUUUGCUAGCUAAAAGUUAAAAAGAUAUAACCUUAGAUGCUUCAGAGCAGGGUUACUCUGGCUAUAUAAGCAACAUUCCGUCAUCAAUGAUACAUUGAGUUAAUGUGGAUUAUUCUUUUUGAAACUCUUGGUACGAAACCACUCGUCAGAGGCUAUUUCAUUAUUCGACUCAAAUCUCACUAUGUGCCACCCGGGAA